rnacentral:rRNA from 1 species
GAUGAACGCUGGCGGCGUGCCUAAUACAUGCAAGUCGAGCGAAUGGAUUAAGAGCUUGCUCUUAUGAAGUUAGCGGCGGACGGGUGAGUAACACGUGGGUAACCUGCCCAUAAGACUGGGAUAACUCCGGGAAACCGGGGCUAAUACCGGAUAACAUUUUGAACCGCAUGGUUCGAAAUUGAAAGGCGGCUUUGGCUGUCACUUAUGGAUGGACCCGCGUCGCAUUAGCUAGUUGGUGAGGUAACGGCUCACCAAGGCAACGAUGCGUAGCCGACCUGAGAGGGUGAUCGGCCACACUGGGACUGAGACACGGCCCAGACUCCUACGGGAGGCAGCAGUAGGGAAUCUUCCGCAAUGGACGAAAGUCUGACGGAGCAACACCGCGUGAGUGAUGAAGGCUUUCGGGUCGUAAAACUCUGUUGUUAGGGAAGAACAAGUGCUAGUUGAAUAAGCUGGCACCUUGACGGUACCUAACCAGAAAGCCACGGCUAACUACGUGCCAGCCGCCGCGGUAA